UACAGAGGUCUCAAGCGUUGUUCGGAUUCAUUGGGCGUAAAGGGCGCGUAGGCGGCGCGACAAGUCAGUGGUGAAAGCCCGAGGCUCAACUUCGGGUCGGCCACUGAUACUGUCGGGCUCGAGCACUGUAGAGGCAGGUGGAAUUCCGGGUGUAGCGGUGGAAUGCGUAGAGAUCCGGAAGAACACCGGUGGCGAAGGCGGCCUGCUGGGCAGUAGCUGACGCUGAGGCGCGACAGCGUGGGGAGCAAACAGG
rnacentral:rRNA from 1 species